GGCUCCAUAGUGUAGUGGUUGUUAGCACGUCUGCUUUCCACGCAGAAGGUCCUGGGUUUGCACCUCAGGUGGAGCCA
rnacentral:tRNA from 1 species